rnacentral:rRNA from 1 species
UACGGAGGGGGCUAGCGUUGUUCGGAAUUACUGGGCGUAAAGGGCGCGUAGGCGGCGCGAUAAGUUGGGCGUGAAAGGCCCGGGCUCAACCCGGGGACUGCGCUUGAUACUGUCGCGCUGUGAGUCCGGAAGAGGAGUGUGGAAUUCCUGGUGUAGCGGUGAAAUGCGCAGAUAUCAGGAGGAACACCAAUGGCGAAGGCAGCACUCUGGGACGUGACUGACGCUGAGACGCGAAAGCGAGGGGAGCAAACGGG